rfam:Homo sapiens chromosome 19, GRCh38 reference primary assembly.
GCUGGGUGUGGUGGUGCACGCCUGCAGUCCCAGCUACUCAGGAGGCUGAGGCAGGAGGAUCACGUGAGCCCAGGAGUUCGAGGUUGCAGUGAGCUCCAGUCACACCACUGCACUCCAGCCUGGGCCACAGAGCGAGACCCUGUCUCUA